rnacentral:misc_RNA from 1 species
UUUCCGUAGGUGAACCUGCGGAAGGAUCAUUAUUGUAUAAUUGAUGUGUGAGGGAUGACGAAGACACAAAAGGACGUAAAAACCAAAAAAAACACACAAAAAACCAUUUCACCCCAAAAAAAACAAAAGCGUGGGUAUUUUUUUGGAUUGUUUGGAGGGGGGCUUACGAAUUAACACAAACUAUGAAUGCAGAGAAGAAAAAAAUUUAUGUUUUUGUGAUAACGAAAUAAAUACAACUUCCAACAACGGAUCACUUGGCACUCGCAUGGAAGGAAAAAG